AGACCCUGGUCUGCACUCUGUCU
rnacentral:miRNA from 3 species